rnacentral:rRNA from 1 species
AAUCAACGCUGGCGGCGUGCCUCAGACAUGCAAGUCGAACGAUUAAAGCUCUCUUCGGAGAGUGUAUAGAGUGGCGCACGGGUGAGUAACACGUAAGUAAUCUACCCUCGAGUGGGGAAUAACAACCGGAAACGGUUGCUAAUACCGCAUAAUGCAGCGGCACCGCAAGGUGACAGUUGUUAAAGAUUCAUCGCUUGAGGAGGAGCUUGCGGCAGAUUAGCUAGUUGGUAGGGUAACGGCUUACCAAGGCUACGAUCUGUAACCGGUCUAAGAGGACGGUCGGUCACACUGACACUGAAUAACGGGUCAGACUCCUACGGGAGGCAGCAGUCGGGAAUUUUGGGCAAUGGGCGAAAGCCUGACCCAGCAACGCCGCGUGAAGGAUGAAGUAUUUCGGUAUGUAAACUUCGAAAGAAUAGGAAGAAUUAAUGACGGUACUAUUUAUAAGGUCCGGCUAACUACGUGCCAGCAGCCGCGGU